UGGAGACAGGUGCUGCAUGGCUGUCGUCAGCUCGUGUCGUGAGAUGUUGGGUUAAGUCCCGCAACGAGCGCAACCCUUGUCUUUAGUUGCCAUCAUUCAGUUGGGCACUCUAAAGAGACUGCCGGUGUCAAACCGGAGGAAGGUGGGGAUGACGUCAAGUCCUCAUGGCCUUUAUGACCAGGGCUACACACGUACUACAAUGGCCGGUACAAAGGGCAGCCACUUAGCGAUAAGGAGCCAAUCCCGUAAAGCCGGUCUCAGUCCGGAUUGGAGUCUGCAACUCGACUCCAUGAAGUUGGAAUCGCUAGUAAUCGCAGAUCAGCACGCUGCGGUGAAUACGUUCCCGGGCCUU
rnacentral:rRNA from 1 species